rnacentral:rRNA from 1 species
AUGCAAGUCGAACGGCAGCGCGGGGCAACCUGGCGGCGAGUGGCGAACGGGUGAGUAAUAUAUCGGAACGUGCCCUGGAGUGGGGGAUAACGCAGCGAAAGUUGCGCUAAUACCGCAUACGAUCUAAGGAUGAAAGCGGGGGACCGCAAGGCCUUGUGCUCCUGGAGCGGCCGAUAUCUGAUUAGCUAGUUGGUGGGGUAAAGGCCUACCAAGGCAUCGAUCAGUAGCUGGUCUGAGAGGACGACCAGCCACACUGGAACUGAGACACGGUCCAGACUCCUACGGGAGGCAGCAGUGGGGAAUUUUGGACAAUGGGCGCAAGCCUGAUCCAGCAAUGCCGCGUGAGUGAAGAAGGCCUUCGGGUUGUAAAGCUCUUUUGUCAGGGAAGAAACGGUGAGUUCUAAUACAGUUCACUAAUGACGGUACCUGAAGAAUAAGCACCGGCUAACUACGUGCCAGCAGCCGCGGUAAUACGUAGGGUGCAAGCGUUAAUCGGAAUUACUGGGCGUAAAGCGUGCGCAGGCGGUUUUGUAAGUUUGUCGUGAAAUCCCCGGGCUCAACCUGGGAAUGGCGAUGAAGGCUGCAAGGCUAGAAUCUGGCAGAGGGGGGUAGAAUUCCACGUGUAGCAGUGAAAUGCGUAGAGAUGUGGAGGAACACCGAUGGCGAAGGCAGCCCCCUGGGUCAAGAUUGACGCUCAUGCACGAAAGCG